GGGCCCGCACAAGCGGUGGAGCAUGUGGUUUAAUUCGAUGCAACGCGAAGAACCUUACCUACUCUUGACAUCCAGAGAACUUUUCAGAGAUGAAUUGGUGCCUUCGGGAACUCUGAGACAGGUGCUGCAUGGCUGUCGUCAGCUCGUGUUGUGAAAUGUUGGGUUAAGUCCCGCAACGAGCGCAACCCUUAUCCUUGUUUGCCAGCGAGUAAUGUCGGGAACUCCAGGGAGACUGCCGGUGAUAAACCGGAGGAAGGUGGGGACGACGUCAAGUCAUCAUGGCCCUUACGAGUAGGGCUACACACGUGCUACAAUGGCGCAUACAGAGGGCAGCCAACUUGCGAGAGUGAGCGAAUCCCAAAAAGUGCGUCGUAGUCCGGAUUGGAGUCUGCAACUCGACUCCAUGAAGUCGGAAUCGCUAGUAAUCGUGGAU
rnacentral:rRNA from 1 species